CCUACGGGGGGCAGCAGUGAGGAAUAUUGGUCAAUGGGCGAGAGCCUGAACCAGCCAAGUCGCGUGAGGGAGUACUGCCCUAUGGGUUGUAAACCUCUUUUGUCGGGGAGCAAAAGCCGGACGUGUCCGGCUGUGAGAGUACCCGAAGAAAAAGCAUCGGCUUACUUCGUGCCAGCAGCCGCGGUAAUACGGAGGAUGCGAGCGUUAUCCGGGUUUAUUGGGUUUAAAGGGUGCGCAGGCGGAUUUUUAAGUCAGCGGUAAAAUCGUGGGGCUCAACCCCAUCCAGCCGUUGAAACUGGGGAUCUAGAGUGUGCGAGAGGUAUGCGGAAUGCGUGGUGUAGCGGUGAAAUGCAUAGAUAUCACGCAGAACCCCGAUUGCGAAGGCAGCAUACCGGUGCACAACUGACGCUCAGGCACGAAAGCGUGGGUAUCGAACAGGAUUAGAUACCCCUGUAGUC
rnacentral:rRNA from 1 species